rnacentral:tRNA from 1 species
AUUUGUGUAGCUUAUAGAGAGCGUAAUAUUGAAGAUAUUAAUGAGGCCGUAGGCCCGCAGAUA